UGUAGGUAUGCGCUCGGCCAAGGCCUUAAAAAGUGGUACAGUGGAAAUGGUAGCAUGAAAAGUUAAUGUUUCCGCGUUUAAAGGUUUGUUAGGUGAAUAAUCCGCGCUUCCGUGUGAAAUGUGAAUAGUUGGUGAACGUUAUAAUCGUGUAUCCGUGUUGUUGUAGGUGCAGUGGUGAAAAGUGGUACGAAAGAGUGUUGAAGGUUUGAAGGCGGUGCUAACAGUUAGCGUGACCGGGGCUAUAGAGACGACGAGCAAAUAUUAAUCUGCCGAGGAUCCCAAGCGGUUGCACCUUCUCCUCUAAUAUCCUUCGCCAUAGCCCGUUCGGCCGAACCGUUUUGCUACCGCCUCAUCAACCAAACGGGAAAAUAGAGCGCGACCGUCGAUCGAUCGAAGUAGUCGGGUAAAAGGGUGACUCUUGUCCGGUGGCGGCAUCUCUGUCUGUGGUGGUGGAGUAGCGGAAGUAGCGGUGAAGUGUGUUGGAGAGGAAACCCACGACACAUUUUCUUCGGCAUCGUCGCGGUAUAAGUUUAUUGGUUUUCAACGAAAAAAAAAGGAAAAAAAAAUCAUCGCAAACAUCCGCGAAGGAGCAUUUUGAAACAGAGAGUAGAGGACAAGCAGACGGACAUACCGACACACACAUUCAUACACAUAGAUCCAUACACCAACAUAUUUACGCCCCGUACACGUACACGGUGUACAGCAUACCCUUACAGGAAGUGCGUAGAGGGAGCCACCGGCGAUAAGAAGCGGUCAAAAUGACGAAGGACAGAUUAGCAGCCUUGCAAGCGGAUAUAGAGGCACAGAGCGAUGAUGAGGAUAUGCCUGAGGAUGUGGCUGUGCCGGUGGAGGGCAGCUUCAUGGAAGAUUUCUUCAAAGAGGUGGAAGAGAUACGGAUGAUGAUCGACAAAAUUCAGGCUAAUGUCGAGGAAGUGAAGAAAAAACACAGUGCCAUCCUGUCGGCCCCACAGUCAGAUGAGAAAACCAAACAGGAACUUGAAGACCUCAUGGCCGACAUUAAAAAAACUGCCAACAGAGUAAGAGGGAAGCUUAAGGGUAUCGAGCAAAACAUUGAACAGGAGGAGCAGCAGAGCAAGUCGAAUGCCGAUCUAAGGAUACGAAAAACGCAACAUUCGGCUCUGUCGCGCAAGUUUGUCGAGGUCAUGACGGAGUACAACCGGACCCAGACGGACUACCGAGAGCGUUGCAAAGGAAGAAUACAACGACAACUGGAAAUUACGGGUAGAGCGACUACAAACGAAGAACUUGAGGAAAUGUUGGAGCAGGGCAAUUCGGCCGUCUUCACGCAGGGGAUCAUCAUGGAGACUCAGCAAGCCAAGCAAACUCUGGCCGAUAUCGAAGCUCGACAUGCAGAUAUUAUAAAAUUGGAAAAUUCAAUUAGGGAACUGCAUGACAUGUUCAUGGAUAUGGCUAUGUUGGUUGAAAGUCAGGGUGAAAUGAUUGAUCGUAUAGAAUAUCACGUCGAACAUGCAAUGGAUUAUGUUCAAACAGCGACACAAGACACAAAGAAAGCGCUUAAAUAUCAAAGCAAAGCCCGCCGGAAGAAGAUUAUGAUCCUGAUCUGUUUAACCGUGCUUGGGCUGAUUGUGGCAUCGUACGUCAGUAGCUACUUCAUGUAAAACAAAGAGCGAAGAUAAGAUUGAGGCGCGGAUUUCGCACGACGGCACACGCAAACACGACGUUCCACGUGGUUGGAUUCUGAACAACAACAACAACAACAUCUACUGCAACAAAACUCAAUGCACAAACGGCGAACAAAUGAUUUAUUCUGCACCCAGCCGAAGAGCGGUGUUCUCAAAUGCAAUGAAAAUUAAAUAGAAAACGACCAAAAACGCUACUACAAAGAAACGUGGAAGACGGACAGUAUAAGCGAGCAGUUCAUUAUUUCCCUUUGGGUUUGGUUUUAGACAACAAUUAUCGAGAACAAACACUGUUACUGUUGCCUGUAGAGCAACUCGACCGCUAAUUUGUUCAGUCAAGUGACAAGCAGAUCCGUAACGACGAAGGAGAACCACUCAAGUAUUCACCUGCGGCAUAUUCUCUUGUAAUGUAUUCAGUGCGAGCACGGGGCACUGAGUAUCCGAGAAAUGGGGAGCGCACGGGAACUCCGGCUCGGAUAUCCAUACCACCAAAUAUUCAUUUGUCCCUCGGUUUAUUUGGUACAUUUCACCAGCGUACAACAGCGCACGACCGGAGCAAGUACAUUUUAAGAAACGUGUACGGUGUGGCUACGGCAUGUAACCUGUUUCAGUUAAGGCGACACACUGCGAAUACCAGCAACAGGUCGCAAAGGCUCGAUUGUCAACGAACGGCGUACCACUUUUUUGGCGCCAUGUGCGACUAUUGUCAAACAGAUUCAAACAGAUCAGACACCCAGUUGUGAAUGCUCCCACGCUUUCGUUUCGAAUGUCGCCGAUUCGUCAAUCCGCUACUUACUUCUACAACGCGUGACGCCAAACCUGCCAAAUACCCGAUACCAAAUCGCGAAUACCCGCUGUGCUAGUACACGGAUUUUCCGCUAUGAGGCGGCACCACUGCAAGGACAGUGCAAACCCACCUCCCCUCCCCCUCAUCCCCACCCCCCGGGGCCACACCGUAGACGCGUUAGAACGAAAAGCAAUCAAACAAGCGCUGCAAUCAAAACUAUUCGAAGAAAUACACAGAGAUGCAAGAGAGAGAGAGAGAGGGAGAGAGGGAGGAAACACAUUAAAUAGAUAUAUGCUGAUGAGCGCCAGAAGCAGCCAGCAGCAGCGGACCGGAGGGUAGAGAUAUGCCACAAAGAACAAACCAAAUCAAGAUAGAAACAGCAGUAUCAAACAUCUCUUCACGUGCUCCUACUUUCCCAUAAUACUCACCACCUCAGCACAACAGUGUCUAUCUCUUUUGCAUAUUGUGUAAAUUGUAAACAGGUACCGUAUACCGUGCGAUCCCUUGUGCACCUGUGCAUUUAUUUGUGGCUGACCCCACAACCGAACGUAACUCACACGGAAAAACCAGAACCAACCAAACACACCUAAUGUUGAUAGCACCCGUGUUCAACGUAUGACCUAAACACCAUCCCAGCAAAUCACAACUGGCACGCAGGGGGAGAAGCAAUCUCACGAUCUGGGGGCCGCAUCCGCAGCGUAAACCUCCUAUCCCCAGGUGUCAGGGGGAUGAUGACGAAGCGUCGACAGCGCAUCAGCACGUUGAGAAAAUCGGCUUUCGUUUGCGUUUGCGACCCAGAAACAACAAAACCGAGCAAAAUGAAGCAUUAUUGUUAAAGUGAUCAUUUUUUUUUCGUUAAGGUCGGCUUGAAGAAUGCAGGAUCGAAAAUUUGCAAAUCAAUUAUAACCCCGCUCCAUCCCACGACGAUAUAUGAUGUGAGUGCGUGUGCGACAAAUGGUGGCCAUGGUUAACGAUUGUUAAACUAUUUGUUGCUCUUCACGAAUGAAACAGACAUUGGGACGUGUUAGGUGUUCGGGAAUGUCCGGUAGAGAAUACAUGUAUUAUGACGACAAUGGCAAUAAAUGUGAAAAUAGGUAAGGACAAGACAUAUAUGACAGAAGAAUACGGCCACACACAGCCGCAGCAGCUACCAACGAUAGGAAUGUAUUCAUUAUUGAUGGCGGAUAAUCACACCUAACCCUGCUAGAGAGAGGAGACCCACAAUUGCAUUUUCCUGCAAGUGCAUCCCCCCGGAGAGACAGUCUCUGCAGAGCACGAACACGUGUGUGUGUGUGUGUGGAGCUACAGGAAAAGAUUAUGCAUCUUUAUACUUUGCACAUAUCCGGCUGCUGCUCUCCGGGUGCACAGGCACAGUGGCACGUUUUUGUUUUCGUUCGUUUGUUUUUGAAUUAAGACAGCGGAACAACCAUGUCGCAGAACAGUAAUUGGGCGUGCCAUCAUGACGCAAAAUGUUCAAGAAAAUGUGUGAUAAUAAUUAAUUCGAUAAAGGUCCCUUCCUCUCUCUCUCUCUAUCUUUGCGACACAUACGCAACGCAAAAUCUACAACUAAGACACAAACUUAGCAAAGGACUACCUAAGAGAGAGAUGGAGAGAGAGAGAGAGAGAGGGAGAAAGUGAACAAAAAAGUAUAUUUUAGAGUUUAGGGCGAUCGAAAAUCUUUACACAGGCACGCGAAACGUAGAUGUGGGUAUAUAUCGGCCCGAUGAUAUUCUUACACCAGAGCUCGCAGAUAACAACCAUGCAGGAGGAAGAAGGUAGAAGAGUGACAUCUCGACCCUUUCAUUUGACGAGGAACGAGGACUAUUACACGGGGGGAAGGAUUCGUUCGGCAAGGAUCGUUUAGUACAGUUCACGUUUGUUUCAUUCGGUUCGCCAUGAAUGAACUGCAUUUUGUGUGUGCAAUUAUGCGCUUCCAGGUAAAAAAAACUACACUCUCUCACUCUCUAUCUAAUUAAACACGUGCACAUGAGAAUAGUCAAUUUAUAUAGCCACAGUGGACGGUUGGUUGAGAGGGACGCGCCCCAGGGAACGUCCAGGGAACGUGUGGGAUUCGUGGGCCUCGGUUGCAUACUUGUGUGUUAUGUUAACGUGAACAGUUUGCGUUGAAGCAUUUUUGAAUGCCUCCCUGUGUUGUUGCUAAGCUAAAUUGCAUAGGCAUUCAUGCAAGGAAAAAGGAGUCAGAAUCGAGUAAAAUCUAAAUUCAAUACUGCCCAAUGAUUGGAGGAUGCUGCAACAGAAGAAAACAUGCAACCGAAAGGUGUAUUGACCUACGUUUCCAUCUCUUUCAACGUACGCAAAGAUGCAACGGAGUCUCUGAGUCACACGCUUAACACAAACACUGGGAGCAUUUGCAUUAGACACCAAUAGCUUGCGGGCGAUGAUUGUCCGCAUAUGAGCAGCUCCGGUCUGGCCGCCAACCCUUAGCGAUUGCUCCUUUAUAUUUCUGGCGCCAUACGUGAGGCUGCCUUACCUUCCUAGGCAUUACAUCUGUUACACAUUUGUUGUUUUGUUGGUACUUUAUUUGUAGUGAUUCACAAUAGUCGAAUGAAGCGGGCUAGAGCUAGAGCUGUGGAUAGGGAUCGAUCGAACACGAUAGCGCUAGGGAACGAUACUGUUACGUCAAUUGUUAUGCAGCAAAUGCAGAUGGGAGCAAAAGCAGAUAAAAUUACUAUGUUCGUGGCCAUUUAAGGUAUUACUACGUGCGGGGUGAAAGGUGCGUGCAGAUAGCCGAUUGUUGUUUUCUACUGCUGUAUCAAGAUAUGAUGUAGCAGCAAAGGGAUGCUCCGUUUUGAGUUUGCGUUUAUGCCACUACUUUCCGGUUCCGGUUUCGGGGUUCUGUUUCAUUAGCUGCAUUCCUAGGCCUUUGUUUUGGAGGCUGUGCGUUGCACAGAAAGGACGGCGGGGGUUGACGAUGGUACAGAAGAGGGAUGGAACAAACAAACAAACUGCUGCAAUCAGACAUGCCUGUUGUAAUCACGGACUAAAGGCUCGACACGGUGUGCGACGAUUUGGGAUGCGUAAUAUUUAAGCAAAACUCUAGUUAAACAAUAAUGUAUUUGAAGAAACAACAUUCAAAGCAGUGGCAGAAGAAUAGUGUGUGGUACAGAACAAUCCGUGUUACUCAACAGUCAAUGGUGUCCGCCGUGGGAAGAUGAAAUCAUUAGCAAGCAGCGAGAUAAAUUUGAUUCGGAGCACAACAGAACAGGAAGGAGGCAGCAAACGAAAAUGUAGUGUAAUCAAAAAACACAAUUUUAAGACGACAAAUAGUGUAAUGUGUUCGCUAGAGUUUCCGGGGGUUGCAUCCACCACUCUUGAAUUAAUCCGAACCCGAUUAUUGGCAAUAGUAUAUCAUGGCGCGGAAGAGAAAUCAGCACCACCACCACCAGCACACCACGUCAGAACAGCAGCAUGAUGAUUUGCCUGCAAUAAGCGAAGGAAGGACGAAUGUAUGUCAAACACGUUGCUGGCUGAUUAGUUAUUAUCGUAAGGAAAGUAUAUAUAUAUAUACAUAAUUAUAUACACAUAGUAUCUAAAACGAAAAAUGCGAAAAAACACAAAAAUAUAGCCUAUUCACUUAAAUAGUUAUUUAAUGCAAACUAUAUAUCUCCAGAUGUCGCGUCGUUCGUCCGAUAACGACACAGAGAACACAGAGACCCGCACGCAGAACAGAGCUAGGGAGCGCAAUUGCCACAGCGUGUAACAGAGACGUGACAUGAAAAUAUGAUUGACCACCACCUGACCUUCACCAAUAAUUCUGUACACUACACUGCAUAUUACAUAAAGUAAGAUUAGACAGCAAACCCACAGAGCAUAUUGUGCGGAUGCUCGGGACACCAGGAAGGAGUUGAUGCACGAUAAUCGCGAAGAAUUCCAGGACAAACAUACUCCCCAAAAGACACAGACGUACGCGGACAAAAAGCGAACAAAGCAACCUGUAGAAGAUCGAACAAGCAUAUACAGACAGUGAGCGAUAAGGCAUGAUAAGGACACCCAACAAACAAACAAACAAACAAACAAAAACGUCAACAACAACAAACGUCUUGCCGGCGUUAGCGAUAGUGUUAUGGCAAAUAUCUAGACCGGGUAGGAAGGAAGGCCGGCCAGCCUGUUGGCAGGAGUCUUGCCCUGCUGCUGCACCCUGUUGUACAGUAUAUAUUUUUCUCUCUAUUUCUAUUGUAUCAAUUAUCAACAAAACGGGGGUGGUGUACAAAAACCCAAAAGCAUACGGUGGAAAUUGAUCCUAUCCGGAAAGAUAGAGAGAAGAAAACAAAACGAACGCAUAAACAGAAUCAGAUCAAACGGUACACCAGUUCGAUCGGAAGCCUGUAAAAAGACCACAAAGAAGCAGAAGAAACUGAUACAAAAUGGCAGUUGAAUGAAGAAGAACAAAAAAACACAAGGCAACAUACGGGCUGGCAGUCAAAAUUUGUUGUGUUUUCUUCCCAAAAAAACCUAUCGCGGAAAAUUUGUUUCGUUUCGCCUCGAAUCGCUAACGGAUAUCGCUUUGAUACAAGCCAAACGUUGUUGCUGGCGCUGCUACUGCUGUUACGCGCCGUGCAUCGUGCUAUCGGUUACGCUGCGCUUGGCAGUUGCUAUGGUUGCAUUCUCAUCUUAGUAAAAACGAAAGCUCAUGCCUGUUCCAGCACAUGUACACUGUGAACGUGAGAUGAUGAAAUGGAGGAGGAAAACAAAUAACGACAAACGUGCAGAAUGGACAAAUUAAGUUGACAAUUUUGUCUGAACAAUUCCAACUUGUUGUUUACCCAGUACUUUCUAAAAGUAAGCAAUUGAUUUUUCUUUCACAAAUCUUGAUGUUGAUGAGAUACUUGAUGCAAGCAACCGUGAAAACAAAACAAAAAAAAAACGAACAGCCUACUAGAAUGUGUAAAAGAAGCGGGAAGGAGGUAGCAGAGCAAAAAUGCGCUUGAUUCUAUUAUAGUUCUGUCAGUAAAGAACGGCUGCUAAAGCUACAAACACUCACACACAGCAAAAUGAGAACAAAAAUCAAUCAGAAUCGUACACCAAACAAAACAAAAAAAAACAACAACAAAAACGCUAUUAAUUCAUAAACAACUUCAGCUACAUUCGUGCAAACACACCAUCGCAGAGAAGAGAGCAAGAGAACCAUCGCACAUACAGAGAAAGGACACUGGAAUAUAGUACAUUGAAAAAAAAAACACACACACACAACGUAUGGAGAUGUUCAGUAAUAAGACUACAUUCCCAGAAGAAAAACAACAAAAAAUAGCGUAAAAGCGAUCGAAACAUAUACAAAACUCGAGCAAGUAAAUAGCAGCCAGAAGACGAAGCAAAGCAAAACAAAGUAACAAACAAACAAACAAAACGUGUAAAUUGUUGCAUUUAAUCAUAAGUCCAUUUUGAAGUUAUUGCGAAGUUAAAUGAAAGUAAAACAGAAACAAACAAACAAACAAAAAAAGAGAAAAGUAACUCCCUCUCUUCAGUAACUAGACGUUCAGUGCUAUGAAAACUAUGAAUAUGAAAACAAAACAAAUAAAAAAAAAAACAACACGUCACAACAACAGGCAACAGAACAACACUGACAACAACAAAAACGUAGUAAACACUCGCAAAAAACGUCACAAAGCACCAGAAUAUCAUUAUCUCCUCCGCUGUUGUCCUUACCAGGCUUCUUUGGAAGCUGCGGGCGCCGACACCGACGCUGACGCCGCCACUGCUGCCUGCAACGUACUACCCCGUAUUAGUAAUGGUAAUUUGUUAUGUUUGAAUGUGUUUGGAAAAAAAUAUUGCCAAUUCUUUCUACUGAUUGUGCUGUAACAUGACUGCGUGACUGUGCGUAUAUUCGACCAUAGAAUAACAGGUACCGUGUAUGUUGGUAGGUUUAGUUUUAAUUUCUGUACCAGCCCUAGCGCCCCAUGCGAGGACAAAUGAUGUUAUGUUUGCAUGCAAAACAAAAACAAAAAAUCGGUUCUCCUUUUUUGGACACGUGGCACGGCAUCCAUUCGGCAGCAAGGAGACGGUACGGGUUUUUCGUACGGUUUCCGGUGUUUGGUGGUGUACGAAUCGGAUGUGGAGGACUUGGGAGGACGAAAAGCAAUGGGAAGAGAUAAGGGAUAAACUGCAACCACACAAGAGAAACAAAAAGAAACCACACACACACACACACAAAACCUACACAAACACGAUACAAAAUCAAGUGAUGGCUUUCGAAAUUAUAUAAGGAAGAUCUUAAAAAUAAACACAAGUUGAUAAAAGCUAACUAUUAAUCGCCUUUUUGCAUUUAUUCAUUCGCUGGUUAUUAACGUUGAGAGAAAACAAAACAAGCAACAAACAAAGAAACAAACAAACAAAAGGAAACAAGGGAAAUGUUUGCGCAUACGAAGGUGAACAGAGCGAAACAAAACGGACAAAUAAAGAAGAAGAAUAGUUACAA